rnacentral:rRNA from 1 species
CUACCAUGCAGUCGAGCGGUAAGAGGGGAAGCUGUGCUUGCCGCUGACGAGCGGCGGACGGGUGAGUAAUGUAUGGCGGGAUCUGCCCGAUAGAGGGGGAUAACUACUGGAAACGGUAGCUAAUACCGCAUAAUCUCUCAGGAGCAAAGCAGGUGCUAACUUCGGUCCUUGCGCUAUACGGAUGAACCCAUAUGGGAUUAGCUAGUAGGUGAGGUAAUGGCUCACCUAGGCGACGAUCCCUAGCUGGUCUGAGAGGAUGAUCACCCACACUGGGACUGAGACACGGCACACACUCCUACGGGAGGCAGCAGUGGGGAAUAUUGCACAAUGGGCGCAAGCCUGAUGCAGCCAUGCCGCGUGUAUGAAGAAGGCCCUAGGGUUGUAAAGUACUUUCAGUCGGAAGGAAGGCGUUGAUGCUAAUAUCUUCAACGAUUGACGUUACCGACAAAAG